UGGCCGUCGUCAGCUCGUGUCGUGAGAUGUUGGGUUAAGUCCCGCAACGAGCGCAACCCUUGUCAUUAGUUGCUACGAAAGGGCACUCUAAUGAGACUGCCGGUGACAAACCGGAGGAAGGUGGGGAUGACGUCAGGUCAUCAUGGCCCUUAUGGGUAGGGCUACACACGUCAUACAAUGGCCGGUACAGAGGGCUGCCAACCCGCGAGGGGGAGCUAAUCCCAGAAAACCGGUCGUAGUCCGGAUCGUAGUCUGCAACUCGACUGCGUGAAGUCGGAAUCGCUAGUAAUCGCGGAUCAG
rnacentral:rRNA from 1 species